AUAUUGAUAUCCUAGAAUCGAGUUAGUGAAAGAAUAAGCAAGAGCGGUUGUCUCUCACUAGCUCGAUUCUAAGAUAUCAAUAUG